rnacentral:tRNA from 1 species
GCGGCUGUGGCGGAAUUGGUAGACGCGCCAGAUUUAGGAUCUGGUACCGAAAGGUGUGGAGGUUCGAAUCCUCUCGGCCGCA